GUGUCAGCCGCCGCGGUAAUACGGAGGGGGUUAGCGUUGUUCGGAAUUACUGGGCGUAAAGCGCACGUAGGCGGAUUGGAAAGUUGGGGGUGAAAUCCCGGGGCUCAACCCCGGAACUGCCUCCAAAACUCCCAGUCUAGAGUUCGAGAGAGGUGAGUGGAAUUCCGAGUGUAGAGGUGAAAUUCGUAGAUAUUCGGAGGAACACCAGUGGCGAAGGCGGCUCACUGGCUCGAUACUGACGCUGAGGUGCGAAAGUGUGGGGAGCAAACAGGAUUAGAUACCCUGGUAGUCCACACCGUAAACGAUGAAUGCCAGACGUCGGGUAGCAUGCUAUUCGGUGUCACACCUAACGGAUUAAGCAUUCCGCCUGGGGAGUACGGUCGCAAGAUUAAAACUUAAAUGAAUUGGCGGGG
rnacentral:rRNA from 1 species